rnacentral:rRNA from 1 species
UGGGGAAUUUUGGACAAUGGGCGAAAGCCUGAUCCAGCAAUGCCGCGUGUGUGAAGAAGGCCUUCGGGUUGUAAAGCACUUUUGUCCGGAAAGAAAUGGCUCUGGUUAAUACCUGGGGUCGAUGACGGUACCGGAAGAAUAAGGACCGGCUAACUACGUGCCAGCAGCCGCGGUAAUACGUAGGGUCCAAGCGUUAAUCGGAAUUACUGGGCGUAAAGCGUGCGCAGGCGGUUGUGCAAGACCGAUGUGAAAUCCCCGAGCUUAACUUGGGAAUUGCAUUGGUGACUGCACGGCUAGAGUGUGUCAGAGGGGGGUAGAAUUCCACGUGUAGCAGUGAAAUGCGUAGAGAUGUGGAGGAAUACCGAUGGCGAAGGCAGCCCCCUGGGAUAACACUGACGCUCAUGCACGAAAGCGUGGGGAGCAAACAGGAUUAGAUACCCUGGUAGUCCACGCCCUAAACGAUGUCAACUAGUUGUUGGGGAUUCAUUUCCUUAGUAACGUAGCUAACGCGUGAAGUUGACCGCCUGGGGAGUACGGUCGCAAGAUUAAAAGCUUAAAGUGAA